rnacentral:rRNA from 1 species
GCUCGUGUCGUGAGAUGUGGUUAAGUCCGCAACGAGCGCAACCCUCGACCUUAGUUGCCAGCAUUCAGUUGGGCACUCUAAGGUGACUGCCGGCUAAAAGUCGGAGGAAGGUGGGGAUGACGUCAAAUCAUCAUGCCCCUUAUGACCUGGGCUACACACGUGCUACAAUGGGCGGUACAAAGGGUCGCGAACCCGCGAGGGGGAGCCAAUCCCAAAAAGCCGCUCUCAGUUCGGAUUGCAGGCUGCAACUCGCCUGCAUGAAGCCGGAAUCGCUAGUAAUCGCGGAUCAGCAUGCCGCGGUGAAUACGUUCCCGGGCCUU